rnacentral:siRNA from 1 species
AAACUAAGGAGCGAUAGGAUGCCA